GUGGUAUUAGCUCAAUGGUAGAGCGCCGCUCUGUGGAAGCGGAGGUUGCCAGUUCGAUCCUGGUAUACCACC
rnacentral:tRNA from 1 species